rnacentral:rRNA from 1 species
CGGGUGAGUAAUGUAUGGGGAUCUGCCUGAUGGCGGGGGAUAACUACUGGAAACGGUAGCUAAUACCGCAUAACGUCGCAAGACCAAAGAGGGGGACCUUCGGGCCUCUUGCCAUCGGAUGUGCCCAGAUGGGAUUAGCUAGUAGGUGGGGUAACAGCUCACCUAGGCGACGAUCCCUAGCUAGUCUGAGAGGAUGACCAGCCACACUGGAACUGAGACACGGUCCAG